AGUCAAGUAAUUAAGUGCAUGUGGUGGAUGCCUUGGCAGUCAGAGGCGAUGAAAGACGUGAUAGGCCUGCGAAAAGCUCCGGGGAGGCGGCAAAUAUCCUUUGAUCCGGAGAUGUCUGAAUGGGGGAACCCACCUACUUUAAGGUAGGUAUUGCAACAUGAAUACAUAGUGUUGCAAGGCGAACGAGGGGAAGUGAAACAUCUCAGUACCCUUAGGAAAAGAAAUCAAUUGAGAUUCCCUCAGUAGCGGCGAGCGAACGGGGAUCAGCCCAUUAAGUUAUGUGUGUUUUAGUGGAACGCUCUGGGAAGUGCGAACGUAGAGGGUGAUAUUCCCGUACACGAAAGGGCACACAUAAUGAUGACGAGUAGGGCGAGGCACGUGAAACCUUGUCUGAAUAUGGGGGGACCAUCCUCCAAGGCUAAAUACUCCUGACUGACCGAUAGUGAACCAGUACCGUGAGGGAAAGGCGAAAAGAACCCCUGUGAGGGGAGUGAAAUAGAUCCUGAAACCGCAUGCAUACAAGCAGUGGGAGCACCUUCGUGGUGUGACUGCGUACCUUUUGUAUAAUGGGUCAGCGACUUAUAUUCAGUAGCGAGGUUAACCGUAUAGGGGAGCCGUAGAGAAAUCGAGUCUUAAUAGGGCGUUUAGUUGCUGGGUAUAGACCCGAAACCAGGCGAUCUAUCCAUGAGCAGGUUGAAGGUUGGGUAACACUAACUGGAGGACCGAACCCACUGUCGUUGAAAAGCCAGGGGAUGACUUGUGGAUAGGGGUGAAAGGCUAAUCAAGCCUGGUGAUAGCUGGUUCUCCCCGAAAGCUAUUUAGGUAGCGCCUCGGACGAAUACCAUAGGGGGUAGAGCACUGUUUCGGCUAGGGGGUCAUCCCGACUUACCAAACCGAUGCAAACUCCGAAUACCUAUGAGUACUAUCCGGGAGACAGACUGCGGGUGCUAACGUCCGUAGUCAAGAGGAAAACAAUCCAGACCGCCAGCUAAGGCCCCAAAAUCAUAGUUAAGUGGGAAACGAUGUGGGAAGGCAUAGACAGCUAGGAGGUUGGCUUAGAAGCAGCCACCCUUUAAAGAAAGCGUAAUAGCUCACUAGUCGAGUCGGCCUGCGCGGAAGAUGUAACGGGGCUAAAACUAUGUGCCGAAGCUGCGGAUGUAUACUUUGUAUACGUGGUAGGGGAGCGUUCUGUAAGCCGAUGAAGGUGUGUUGAGAAGCAUGCUGGAGGUAUCAGAAGUGCGAAUGCUGACGUGAGUAACGACAAAACGGGUGAAAAACCCGUUCGCCGAAAGACCAAGGGUUCCAGUCCAACGUUAAUCGGGGCUGGGUGAGUCGACCCCUAAGGCGAGGCCGAAAGGCGUAGUCGAUGGGAAAAUGGUUAAUAUUCCAUUACUUCUGUGUAAUGCGAUGAGAGGACGGAGAAGGCUAAAUCAGCCUGGCGUUGGUUGUCCAGGUGAAAGGAAGUAGGCAUGUAUCUUAGGCAAAUCCGGGGUACUCUAUGCUGAGAUCUGAUAGCAAGCUGUACUUGUACAGCGAAGUGGUUGAUGCCAUGCUUCCAGGAAAAGUCUCUAAGCUUCAGUUACACAGGAAUCGUACCCGAAACCGACACAGGUGGUCAGGUCGAGUAGACCAAGGCGCUUGAGAGAACUCUGCUGAAGGAACUAGGCAAAAUGGUACCGUAACUUCGGGAGAAGGUACGCUGUUGUUGGUGAUGGAACUCGCUUCCUGAGCUGACGACAGCCGCAGAAACCAGGCCGCUGCAACUGUUUAUUAAAAACAUAGCACUCUGCAAACACGAAAGUGGACGUAUAGGGUGUGAUGCCUGCCCGGUGCUGGAAGGUUAAUUGAUGGGGUUAGCGUAAGCGAAGCUCUUGAUCGAAGCCCCAGUAAACGGCGGCCGUAACUAUAACGGUCCUAAGGUAGCGAAAUUCCUUGUCGGGUAAGUUCCGACCUGCACGAAUGGCAUAAUGAUGGCGGCGCUGUCUCCAGCAGAGGCUCAGUGAAAUCGAAAUCGCUGUGAAGAUGCAGUGUACCCGCGGCUAGACGGAAAGACCCCGUGAACCUUUACUGCAGCUUGACACUGAACUUUGACCUUACUUGUGUAGGAUAGGUGGGAGGCUUUGAAGCUGGAACGCUAGUUCCAGUGGAGCCGUCCUUGAAAUACCACCCUGGUAAUGUUGAGGUUCUAACUCUGUCCCGUGAUCCGGGACGAGGACCGUGUCUGGUGGGUAGUUUGACUGGGGCGGUCUCCUCCUAAAGAGUAACGGAGGAGUACGAAGGUGCGCUCAGCGUGGUCGGAAAUCACGCGUAGAGUAUAAAGGCAAAAGCGCGCUUAACUGCGAGACCCACAAGUCGAGCAGGUACGAAAGUAGGUCUUAGUGAUCCGGUGGUUCUGUAUGGAAGGGCCAUCGCUCAACGGAUAAAAGGUACUCUGGGGAUAACAGGCUGAUACCGCCCAAGAGUUCAUAUCGACGGCGGUGUUUGGCACCUCGAUGUCGGCUCAUCUCAUCCUGGGGCUGAAGCAGGUCCCAAGGGUAUGGCUGUUCGCCAUUUAAAGAGGUACGCGAGCUGGGUUUAGAACGUCGUGAGACAGUUCGGUCCCUAUCUACCGUGGGCGCUGGAAAUUUGAGAGGAUCUGCUCCUAGUACGAGAGGACCAGAGUGGACGAACCUCUGGUGUACCGGUUGUGACGCCAGUCGCAUCGCCGGGUAGCUAUGUUCGGAAGGGAUAACCGCUGAAAGCAUCUAAGCGGGAAGCCUACCUCAAGAUAAGAUUUCCCUAGGACUUUAUGUCCUCUAAAGAGCCGUUCGAGACUAGGACGUUGAUAGGUUGGAUGUGGAAGCAUAGUGAUAUGUGAAGCUGACCAAUACUAAUUGCUCGUGAGGCUUGACUAUACAACACCC
rnacentral:rRNA from 1 species